rnacentral:RNase_P_RNA from 1 species
UUGGCAAGCCAGACAAUCGCUGCCCGACCACUUAAUCUAAGGAUUUUUAGCAAACGGUGUUUUAGAUGUUUAGAUUAAGUGGUCGGGGAGAGGAAAGUCCGGGCUACACAGGGCGACGUGCUAGCUAACGGCUAGGGGGCGCAAGCCUACGACCAGUGCAACAGAGAGCAGACCGCUCCGCUACCUUUUGAUAAUUUGCUGAUUAUAAAAGCAUUAAAGUUGUUAAAAGGUAGCGGAGUAAGGGUGAAAGGGUGCGGUAAGAGCGCACCGCAUGGCUGGCAACAGUUCAUGGCAGGGUAAACUCCACGUGUAGCAAGACCAAAUAGGAACUCAAUCGGUUGCCCGCCGAGAGUUCGGGUAGGUUGCUUGAGCGUGUUGGCGACAGCACGCCUAGAUGAAUGAUUGUCCACGACAGAACCCGGCUUAUCGGUUUGCCAAAAAU